rnacentral:rRNA from 1 species
CCAAAAUCUAGCCUAAAACUAUAACAUAUUAACAUCAUCUAACUUAAUUAAAGUAAAACAUUUUAUCUUUAUAGUAGAGGCGAUCAAAAAAUAACUAAGAGCUUCAGAAGUAGUACCGCAAGGGAAAAAUGAAAUAAAAAUGAAAUAAAUUUUAAACAAAUUAAAGCAGAGAUUUUCUCUCGUACCUUUUGCAUCAUGGUCCAGCUAGUAUAAUCAAGCAAAAAGAAAUUUUAGUUUGCACCCCCGAAACUAAGCGAGCUACUUCAAAACAGCUAAAAGAGCUAACCCGUCUCUGUAGCAAUAGAGUGGGAAGAUUUUCAAGUAGAAGUGACAAGCCUAACGAGCUUAGAAAUAGCUGGUUAUUCAGGAAAAGAAUAUUAGUUCUACCUUAAAUUUUAUUAUGUAAUCAAACAAAUCUCAAGAUUUAAGAGCUAUUCAAUUAAGGCACAGCUUAUUUGAAACAGGACACAACCUACACAACAGGGUAAAACACCAAUUAUUAUAUUAAGUGGGCCUGAAGGCAGCCACCUUUUAAAAAGCGUUAAAGCUUAUUAUAAUUAGUUAACAGAUAUCAAAAAUUAACAUGAACCCUUACCACCUACUGAAUAAUUCCAUAAUUAUAUGGAAAUUACCAUGCUGGAACUAGUAACAAGAAUAUGAAAUUCUCUAAAAUGCAAGCAUAAACCAAAAUGGACACUCCACUGGUAAUUAACGAAAAUGAACAAACUAUAGUAACUUGAACAAGAAAAACCUAUUAAACCUUCUCGUUAAUCUAACACUAGAGCAUUAACAGAAAGAUUAAAAGAGAAAGAAGGAACUCGGCAAACACUAACCCCGCCUGUUUACCAAAAACAUCGCCUCUUGAUAAAUUAUAAGAGGUCUAGCCUGCCCAGUGAAAAUUUAACGGCCGCGGUACCCUGACCGUGCGAAGGUAGCAUAAUCACUUGUUCUUUAAAUAGGGACUAGUAUCAACGGCAUCACGAGGGUUACACUGUCUCCUUUCUCCAAUCAGUGAAACUGAUCUUCCCGUGAAGAAGCGGGAAUAUAAUCAUAAGACGAGAAGACCCCAUGGAGCUUUAAAUUUAUAGCAACUCAGUCAAACAAAUCCUUAUAAUCCACAGAGCCAUGCUUACUAAUUUUAGGUUGGGGUGACCGCGGAGUAAAAAUUAACCUCCACAACGAAAAGAACUAAAUCUUUAUCCAAGAGCUACGGCUCUAAGAAUUAGAACACUAACGACAAUGACCCGAUAAUCGAUCAACGGACCAAGUUACCCUGGGGAUAACAGCGCAAUCUACUUCGAGAGCUCAUAUCGACAAGUAGGCUUACGACCUCGAUGUUGGAUCAGGGCAUCCCAGUGGUGCAGCCGCUACUAAUGGUUCGUUUGUUCAACGAUUAAAGCCCUACGUGAUCUGAGUUCAGACCGGAGUAAUCCAGGUCGGUUUCUAUCUAUAAAGUGUUAUUCUUAGUACGAAAGGAUCAGAAUAACAUGGCCAAUGUAAACCCAAGCCAUACUCUACACUAAUGACCCCAACUCAAUUAGGUGUAACCUGCCCUCAAAUUAAAGACAAUAAUUU